AAGUCGUAACAAGGUUUCCGUAGGUGAACCUGCGGAAGGAUCAUUAAAAAGAUCAACCCGGUGUUAAGUUAGUGAAAGCUGACUUAAGUCACGCCUGUUCUCCAGGCCUUGUGGGGCUGUUUUAAACUCACAGCAAAUUCCAGUGAUGAUAACUUAUGCCAGGGGCUGCCGCCCCUGGGCCGGUUGAAUCCCACCCGUGUCUACAUACUCUUGUUGCUUUGGCAGGCCGUGGUCUCCACUGUGGGCUCUGCCUGCAUGUGCCUGCCAGAGGAUCAAACUCUGAAUUUUAGUGAUGUCUGAGUACUAUAUAAUAGUUAAAACUUUCAACAACGGAUCUCUUGGUUCUGGCAUCGAUGAAGAACGCAGCGAAAUGCGAUAAGUAAUGUGAAUUGCAGAAUUCAGUGAAUCAUCGAAUCUUUGAACGCACAUUGCGCCCUGUGGUAUUCCGCAGGGCAUGCCUGUUCGAGCGUCAUUAUAACCACUCAAGCCUAGCUUGGUAUUGNAGUUUGCGGUCCCGCAGCUCCUAAAAUUAGUGGCGGUGCCGGUGUGGCUCUACGCGUAGUAAUUCUUCUCGCGAUGGAGUUCCCCUGGUUACUUGCCAGAACCCCCAAUUUUUACAGGUUGACCUCGGAUCAGGUAGGGAUACCCGCUGAACUUAAGCAUAUCAAUAAGCGGAGGAAAAGAAACCAACAGGGAUUACCUCAGUAACGGCGAGUGAAGCGGUAACAGCUCAAAUUUGAAAGCUGCCAACAGGCCGCAUUGUAAUUUGUAGAAGAUGCUUUGGGUGUUGGCCUAGUCUAAGUUCCUUGGAACAGGACGUCAUAGAGGGUGAGAAUCCCGUAUGUGAUUAGUGUCAGCCCCCGUGUAAAGCUCUUUCGACGAGUCGAGUUGUUUGGGAAUGCAGCUCAAAAUGGGUGGUAAAUUUCAUCUAAAGCUAAAUAUUGGCCAGAGACCGAUAGCGCACAAGUAGAGUGAUCGAAAGAUGAAAAGCACUUUGGAAAGAGAGUUAAACAGUACGUGAAAUUGUUGAAAGGGAAGCGCUUGCAAUCAGACUUGCAGGCAGUCGAUCAUCCGAGGUUCUCCCCGGUGCACUCGAUUGUCUUCAGGCCAGCAUCGGUUUCGGUGGUGGGAUAAAGGCUGUGGGAAUGUGGCUCUUCGGAGUGUUAUAGCCCACGGUGCAAUGCCGCCUACCGGGACCGAGGACCGCGCUUCGGCUAGGAUGCUGGCGUAAUGGUUGUAAGCGACC
rnacentral:rRNA from 1 species